rnacentral:rRNA from 1 species
CUGUCUCAGAUAGCCAUGCAUGUCUAAGUAUGAAUGAUAUACAGUGAAACUGCGAAUGGCUCAUUAAAACAGUUAUAGUUUAUUUGAUAAUCAAACUUACAUGGAUAACCGUGGUAAUUCUAGAGCUAAUACAUGCUGGUUAGCCUGACUUUUAGGAAAGGCUGUAUUUAUUAGAUAACAAACCAAUAUUCCUUGUGUCUAUUGUGAUGACUCAUAAUAACUGAUCGAAUCGCAUGGACUUUGUCCGCGAUACAUCAUUCAAGUUUCUGCCCCAUCAGCUUUCGAUGGUAGUGUAUUGGACUACCAUGGCUUUAACGGGUAACGGAGGAUUAGGGUUCGAUUCCGGAGAGGGAGCCUGAGAAACGGCUACCACAUCUAAGGAAGGCAGCAGGCGCGUAAAUUACCCAAUCCUAAUUCAGGGAGGUAGUGACAAGAAAUAACGGACUGAGGCUUUGCUUCAGGAUUGCAAUGAGUUGAAUUUAAACCCCUUGACGAGGAUC